AAACCGGAGCUAAUACCGGAUAAUAUUUUAAACCGCAUGGUUCAAAAGUGAAAGACGGUCUUGCUGUCACUUAUAGAUGGAUCCGCGCUGCAUUAGCUAGUUGGUAAGGUAACGGCUUACCAAGGCAACGAUGCAUAGCCGACCUGAGAGGGUGAUCGGCCACACUGGAACUGAGACACGGUCCAG
rnacentral:rRNA from 1 species